rnacentral:sRNA from 1 species
AUUUAUUUAUUUAUUUUUCUGUUUAGACUGAAUUAAUAAUAUUAUAGGUAUCAAAACAAAAUCAUAUAUCCAAGAACCUCAAUUUUAUUAAAAGAGAUUGACACAAAUCCAAACAAUAUAUACCAUUUACCAUUAUCCCUUUUUUCUGCAUCCAUCUUUAACCACCAUACAAUAAUCAAAUUCUACGACAUCCAUUUGACUGCUUCGUUAUGGUCGACGUCACAUCAAAUUAUUAUAAAAUCCAAAGCAAUUUCUUCACAUGUUAUGGAAGUAGCUAGUAAAAGAGCUAAUCACCUUAAUAAUUUUGUCUCAUUUUUUUACCUAACGGUGUCGUUAUCGACUCUCGAAGUUCUGGGCAAUGAAUAAAAUACAUUAAUAAUGGAAAGUUUUUGUGUGAGGGUGUCUAAACGAAUAUAUGUAUUAACAGAAAAUGAUUGGUGUUAUUUACAAUUAUAUUUAG